CACGGGUGAGUAACACGUAUCCAACCUGCCGUCUACUCUUGGACAGCCUUCUGAAGGAAGAUUAAUACAAGAUGGCAUCAUGAGUCCGCAUGUUCACAUGAUUAAAGGUGUUCCGGUAGACGAUGGGGAUGCGUUCCAUUAGAUAGUAGGCGGGGUAACGGCCCACCUAGUCUUCGAUGGAUAGGGGUUCUGAGAGGAAGGUCCCCCACAUUGGAACUGAGACACGGUCCAA
rnacentral:rRNA from 1 species